CGAGAGAGAGAGCACAGUUACUGGAGGAGAGUGCAGCACGCGUGACACCAGUGGCGGGAGGCCAGAGUCAGAGCGCCGCCUGUGUGAAGGCAGCGGUCGACGAGGUCACCGCUCUGUGCGCUAAACAAUGCUGCUGGUGUGGCGGAAGCUCGGGCUGCAGGACAAUGGAGGGGGUUAUAAGUGAGGUUGACUCCGUUUUGGAAUGAGGAAAUUCCAUCAACAAAAGUACCUCAAAAGUGUCAUGGAUGCGCUCAUCAGUAGAGGCGAAGCAUAUUGUAAUGUCAAAACACUGUGAUUGAGGAGUGAAGUCUUCAAGGAGCCAAACACCGUCGUGGAGUGAAAAUGGCAGCCUCGCUCUUUGGAGAGCAGCAUGGCAAUCAGCAUCGCGGCCGCCUGCGUGAAAAUGUCAAGACGAUCCAUGUGACCUGACGCAUGCGGUCAUCAUCUGCCUAUGAGCAGCAGAAGCGUCUCCUCAUCUCCAUCGCCUUAGGCCCCUUCAGGUGAGCUGUCGUUGCCUCAAGCUGCUUGUCCCGUCUGAAUAAGGCCAAUUACUUUGGAGGAGCAUGAGGGCCAUUCUGAUAAAGUCAAAGAUCAGCUACUUUGAACCAAAAAGUCCCGGGGCCAUAUUCUCCUGUUAGCACUAAAGUCAUUUUUUUUAAUCCCCCUGGCUCGCACACUCUGACCCUUUUUGAUGUUUUUCCUUCCCAUUUUCUGUCUUAAAAUUCCAAUUCUCAUAUUAAAACUUUGUCUCAUAGCAAGAGAACUUGCUCAUAGUAUACCAUGUUCCCCCAAUCAAAUGAUAACUUUAUUCAAAAUAAAUGGGACAUUUUUACUCAUUA